AGUGACUGAAAAGGAAAAAAAGACAAAGCCUUAAGAACACCUCCUACAGCAAAACCAACAGAAACUGCACGCUACCCCAGGCUUCCUCUGGAGUUCUGCAAACCUUAAAUUGUAUAUCACUACUUUUGUCUGGGAAAAGCCUUAAGUUAUUAAGUAAAAAUAUUGCUCUGCUGGACAGCCUUCUAAGUGCUUCCAGACAAAUUCCCCAAGGGAAGAAGGAAAAAAAAAAAAAAAAAAAAAAUCAACUAUACACCACCACAACCAAACGACACACCAAAACUAUUACUGGUUUGAAUUAAAACAAGCGCCUCACCUGCUUCGAGGCCAUACAACAGAGCGGGACCUGGAACGUGACCUGGACCUAGAUCUGGAAAUAAAAAAGAACUACUAUCACAUGCUUCAUAAAGAGAACCAGAGCGGGACCUACGGGGUGAGAAUGAUCUGUAUCUACGAGGAGACAUCGACCUGGACCUGCGGUA